UUGGAGUCCAGCACUAAUGCGCCCGCCUGCCUUCCCUCAGCCUACGCGUCGGUCUUCCUGGAGUGAACUCCUCCCGCCCUUCCCCCGCUCGCGAGCCCCAAUCUAUCCUGAGCUCACACGUGCGCGCCUCCACAAACUCCUACUGAGCACCAAACGCGUGUGCGGCCUCCCCGACCGCCCAGAGGUAUGGCCCGCUCUCCGCAGGCCGCGACCUUUGCAGGGAAACGCGCCACAGACUAGGAUGAAGUCGCAACUGGGAAAGAAUGGAUGAUGAAAGAGAUUGAAAGGAAAGCCCCAUCUCUGUGCCCGGGGGCCUGCAGACCUGGAGUCUUUCUCCAGUGCAACGCUGUCCAAUCCAACUAUGACCGGAUCUCCACUCAGACUAGCCUCAUGAAAGGCUCAACAGUUGCAUGUGGCUGGGGCUCUGGUAUUGGAUAGUGCGGCUCCAGAGAGCCAGCUGACCACGUGCUGGGGCUGGGCUGGUGUGCAGGAGCAGUCGCCCGGUACAGGGGAUCAGGGAGGAGACAGGGGUCCGGCACCUCUGUAUCCAGCCUGACAUGAGUCUCUUCACUCCAGCCUGCACCUCGCCCCAGCCCCCCACCAUCCCUGGACACCCCUCAACCUCUCAAACCUCCCUGUAAUGAGCUGAAUGGUGGCCCCCGAAAAGACAUGUCCAAGUCCUAAUCCCUGUACCUGAAUGUGACCUUAUUUGGAAAAAGGAUCUUUACGGACGUAACUAAGUUACAGAUCUCAAGAUAAGAUCACCCUGGAUUAUCCGGGUGGGCUCUGAAUCCAAUGACUGUUGUCCUUGUUUGACAGAAGAGGAGAGACACACAGGGGAGAAGGCCGUGUGAAGACAGAGGCCGAGGUUGGGGUGAUGCUGCCACAGGAACAGCAGGAGCUGGAUGAGGCAGGAAGGAGCAGCCUCCAGAGCCAUGGGAGAAUGAAUUCCUGCUCCCACCCCACCGGACACCGACACGCUGCUUGCCCCUCGGGCUCCCCUCUGCAGCUCUCUCUGCUCCGCCGGGUCAGUUCUCCUUGCCUGCUCUCCUUGCCCUGUGUCUCCUUCAGGCUUUGUUCCUUUGCUGCCAUCAAAGUGACGCUUGAGGAGUGAGAGGAGACCAGCUUCUCUGCACAGCUGUCUUGUUUAACUGCAAGUCUUGGUCUUGACCAUGGUUUUACCCUGCUCCCCUCACUGGGUCACAACUGUCCAUGGAUCUGGCCCUAGAAUGAGGUCCCAUGCCCCCUAUUUACUUAGACAGCCUGUGUUCGUUUCCGGGGGCUGCUGUAACCAAUGACAACAAAUAGGGGAGCUUAAAACAGUAACAACAUUUUUCCCCUGCAACUCUGGAGGCCAGAAAUCCAAGAUCAAGGUGUCAGCAGGACCACGUUCCCUCCGAAGGCUCCUGGGGAGGAUCCUUCCUGCCCCGCCCAGCUCCUUGUGCUCCUGUGUCAGCUUCACCCCAGCCUCGGCCUCCGUCUUCACACGGCUUUCUCCCCAUGUGUAUCUUCUCUCUGUCUCAGAAAGACACUUAUCCUUGGAUUUAGGACUCAUAUGGAUAAUCCAAGAUGACCUCAUCUCAAGAUCCUUAAUUACAUUUGCAAAGACCCUUUUUUCAAAUAAACUCCCAUUCACAGGCACCAGGGUUAGGACUGAGACCUACCACUCAGCCCACUACACAACCUGGGCCCCAAGACAAAUUUAAGUGGCUCCAAUCCCAUUUCCUUUGCCUUGUCCAAGGGCAAGAGAGGGGCCUCAUUGGAUCUGCUGUGCCCAGCCGGCAGGCUGGGCCCUGAUGCAGACUUGGCUCUAAGGACUCCCCGGCCCCCGCUGGAAUCCGUGUCCUGCUUCGACUUCUCUGGUGGGGACAUGAGUCCGUGUGAUCCUGCUAAAACAAUCGCCCCUGUCUGCCUCUGAGCCAGCUGGACCAGG